rnacentral:rRNA from 1 species
CCUACGGGUGGCUGCAGUAGGGAAUAUUGCUCAAUGGGGGAAACCCUGAAGCAGCAACGUCGCGUGGAGGAUGAAGGUUUUAGGAUUGGAAACUCGUUUUGUUAGAGAAGAUAAUGACGGUAUCUAACGAAUAAUCACGGUCUAACUCCGUGCCAGCAGCCGCGGUACUUCGGAGGGUGCAAGCGUUACUCGGAAUCACUGGGCGUAAAGAGCGCGUAGGCGGGAUAGCAAGUCAGAUGUGAAAUACUCUGGCUUAACCAUAGAACUGCAUUUGAAACUGUUAUUCUAGAGUAUGGGAGAGGUAGGUGGAAUUCUUGGUGUAGCGGUGAAAUCCGUAGAGAUCAAGAGGAAUACUCAUUGCGAAGGCGACCUGCUAGAACAUAACUGACGCUGAUGCGCGAAAGCGCGGGGAGCAAACAGGAUUAGAUACCCCAGUAGUC